rnacentral:rRNA from 1 species
GGUUUGAUUCUGGCUCAGAUUGAACGCUGGCGGGAUGCUUUACACAUGCAAGUCGAACGGCGGCACGGACUUCGGUCUGGUGGCGAGUGGCGAACAGGUGAGUAAUGUAUCGGAACGUGCCUAGUAUGGGGGAUAACUACGCGAAAGCGGCAAUACCGCAUACGCCCUUCGGGGGAAAGCGGGGACCUUCGGGCCUCGCACUAUUAGAGCGGCCGAUAUCGGAUUAGCUAGUUGGUGGGGUAACGGCUCACCAAGGCGACGAUCCGUAGCUUCGUUUGAAGGACGACCAGCCACACUGCAGGACUGAGACACGGCCCGGGCUCUGCAGGAGGCAGCAGUGAGGGGAAUUUUGGACAAUGGGAAACCUGAUCCAGCCAUCCCGCGUGUGCGAUGAAGGCCUUCGGGUUGUAAAGCACUUUUGGCAGGAAAGAAACAGCCACGGGAUAAUACCCGUGCAACUGACGGUACCUGCAGAAUAAGCACCGGCUAACUACGAUAUAGCAACCGCGGUAAUACGUAGGUCUGGCGUUAAUCGGAAUUACUGGGCAAAGCGUGCGCAGGCGGUUCCGGAAGAAAGAUGUGAAAUCCCAGAGCUUAACUUUGGAACUGCAUUUUUUAACACCAGCUAAGAGUGUGUCAGAGAGUGGAAUUCCCGUGUAGCAGUGAAAGUACGUAGAUAUGCGGAGGAACACCGAUGGCGAAGGCAGCCUCCUGGGAUAACACUGACGCUCAUGCACGAAAGCGUGGGGAGCAAACAGGAUUAGAUACCUGGUAGUCCACGCCCUAAACGAUGUCAACUAGCUGUUGGGGCCUUCGGGCCUUGGUAGCGCAGCUAACGCGUGAAGUUGACCGCCUGGGGAGUACGGUCGCAAGAUUAAAACUCAAAGGAAUUGACGGGGACCCGCACAAGCGGUGGAUGAUGUGGAUUAAUUCGAUGCAACGCAAAAAACCUUACCUACCCUUGACAUGUCUGGAAUCGAAGAGAUUUGGGAGUGCUCGCAAGAGAACCGGAACACAGGUGCUGCAUGGCUGUCGUCAGCUCGUGUCGUGAGAUGUUGGGUUAAGUCCCGCAACGAGCGCAACCCUUAUCAUUAGUUGCUACGAAGGGCACUCUAAUAGGACUGCGCGGUGACAAACCGGAAGGUGGGGAUGACAUCAAGUCCUCAUGGCCCUUAUGGUGAGGGCUUCACACGUCAUACAAUGGUCGGGACAGAGGGUCGCCAACCCGCGGGAGGCCAAUCCAGAAACCCGAUCCGUAGUCCGGAUCGCAGUCUGCAAACUCCGACUGCGUGGGUGGAAUCGCUAGUAAUCGCGGAUCAACAUGUCGCGGUGAAUACGUUCCCGGGUCUUGUACACACCGCCCGUCACACCAGCGGGAGUGGGUUUUACCCGAAGUAGUUAGCCUAACCGUAAGGAGGGCGAUUACCACGGUAGGAUUCAUGGCUAGAGGUGAAGUGUACUGGUACGA